rfam:Asanoa hainanensis strain CGMCC 4.5593 genome assembly, contig: Ga0104436_103
AAGGUUCCGGUUCCCGUUCCCGUCCCAGGGGCGACCCGGCGACC